CCAGACAGUGUUAUUAAAACAUUUCUGAUACACCCAAGGUAGCACCCAAGAAUUAGGACUAUAACAUUACAGGCUACUUUAAAUCAUGUGCAUCCAGCUGAAGAUGUAUCUACAUAUUGUCCAUCCAUCCAUCCAUCCAUCCUCUAACCACCAAUCUUCUAACUGCUUAUGAAUACAGGGUCAUGGAGAUCCUGGAGCAAAUCACAGGAAGUCAUAAGGGCCCUUGGAUUCCUCUUCCCUAUCUCCACUUGACUGCACCCCUUAUCAUACAAUAGCCACAUAAGAAUAUACAGUAGAACAAACAAACACACAGUAAGAUUGAUUGUGUUAGCGGAGCACGUCACAUGUUAUUGAUUUGGAAGUACCAAGGAAGAGAGAAGCACUUCUUCAGAUGCAGCUUCCAGUGUUGGUGAAGAAGGCCCCAGCUGAGGAGCCACAACAGCUUUUAAAAAGGAGAUAUUGUAAAUAAACAAGGUUAAAGGGGUUGGUGGGGCGGCACUUUUUGCAGUUCAAAGUCUGCCGCACGUCAGACUGCCGCUGUGCACUGUAAACUGCCAAACACUGGUGCCAACAGAAGCAGGAAACACCGUGAACCUGUUUCACCAAUGGAAGCAUCGCCGUCCGGUAGAGCAUACAGAAUGCAAAUGCUUAUGGUCAUAAACACGGGCAAACAGGAUUUUACACUUUCAAUAUGGAGAAAAAUUGGUUAAAAAUGGGACAUAGUUUAUUUUUCACUAUUUACGUGAAAACUCUAUCAGUAAUGUCAAACCCAAACCCUGGAAUGAGUAGUGAGGCAGUUAGAGAAAAUAACAAAUCAUACUGUCGGCAUUUUCUAGCAUUACUCCUUAUGGCAAAACAUCUUUAUUUUUGUAGAUUUCUUUGUUACAGUUAGAUGUCAGUUUGCAGUCCAUUUCAUGUGUUGCCUUUUUCAAGUUCUGUUUUCAUGUUAGAACAUUCCUAAGGGAGUUUUAAGUAAAAAUGAAGCCUAGCAGUAAAGGAUCAAUAUCUUGAAUUAUAUUGUGACAAUUAUCAAUAUCGGCUGAUAUGAAAAAUAUAUAUAUA